rnacentral:rRNA from 1 species
ACGGAGGGUGCAAACGUUGCUCGGAAUCAUUGGGCGUAAAGCGCACGUAGGCGGUCUAGCAAGUCGGGUGUGAAAUCCCUCGGCUUAACCGAGGAAGUGCAUUCGAAACUACUGGACUUGAAUACUCAAGAGGGUCUCGGAAUUCCCGGUGUAGAGGUGAAAUUCGUAGAUAUCGGGAGGAACACCAGUGGCGAAGGCGGAGACCUGGGGAGAUAUUGACGCUGAGGUGCGAAAGCGUGGGGAGCAAACAGGA